CUAUGUGUGGACGGGAUAAGUGCUGAAAGCAUCUAAGCAUGAAGCCCCCCUCAAGAUGAGAUUUCCCAACUUCGGUUAUAAGAUCCCUCAAAGAUGAUGAGGUUAAUAGGUUCGAGGUGGAAGCAUGGUGACAUGUGGAGCUGACGAAUACUAAUCGAUCGAAGACUUAAUCAAAA
rnacentral:rRNA from 1 species